rnacentral:lncRNA from 1 species
UUUUGAGACAGAGUCUCGCUCUGUCACCCAGGCUGGAGUGCAGUGGCGUGAUCUCGGCUCAUUGCAACCUCCGCCUCCUGGGUUCAAGCAAUUCUCCUGCCUCAGCCUCCUGAGUAGCUGGGAUUACAGGCGCCCGCCACCACUCCCAGCUAAUUUUUGUAUUUUUAGUAGGGACGAGGUUUCACCAUGUUGGUCAGGCUGGUCUCAAACUCCUGACCUCGUGAUCUGCCCUCCUUGGCCUUCCAAAGUGCUGGGAUUACAGGCGUGAUGGAGAUGAUACUCCCUAAAUCACAAGGGUGUGGUGUGAAGAUGAAAUGGCUGCACGUGACAGAGGAGUUGGAGAACAGGAAGCAAGUGGAUUACUUGGAUGAACUGUGAUGGGCCCAAGAAGAACUAAGCCAAUCACUCCAGGGGGCGUUUUCCCAGGAUCCAGGCAGAGAGCUGAUUCCAGCAUCCACGUUGUAUCCCCCUCCCGCUGUGGCCGGGGUCUCCAAGAGCCGGGCACCCACUGCAGAGCUUCCAAGCCCAGGCCCAUUUGAACACAGGAGGACUUUUGAGGUUCAUUUAACCCCAAAAUCAGUGAUUCUACAUCUCAAGCUCAUAUUUUGAAGUGUUUACGGCCAGCCAAGCACACACGGAGUACAGCUGUCCCUUGCUAUUCAUGGCAGAUUGAUCCCAGACACUGCCACCCCCAGCCCUGUGAACACCAAAACCCAUGGAUGCUCAAGUCCUUGAUAUAAAAUGGUAUGGUAUUUGCACAUAACCUACACACAUCUUCCCAUAUACUUUAAAUCAUCACUAGAUUACUUAUAAUACCUAAUGCAAUGUAAAUGCUAUGUAAGUAGUUGCUACGCUGUAUUGCUUAGGGAAUAAUGACAAGAAAAAAAGGCUGUACAACUUCAGUACAAAUGCUAUCAUUCAUUUUUUUAUCUGAAUAUUAUGAUCCAUGAAUACAGAGGGCUGGCUGUAAAAAGAAUGUACAGUUUGGUACUUUACUCCUAGUUUAAGUCAUCUCUUUCGGCCCAUACAGGUUGCCUGGGGCAGGGCGGUGGUGAGUGUGUUGAGUCGGCCCUAUACCCUGUUCCACAAUGCCUGGUGUCCUUGGCACGUAGCUUGCAGGGCUGCUUCCAUGGAUGGCUGCCUCAUCCCCCACCCCUCCUUCAUGGCACCCUCUUUUCUCCAACUCCUUUUCCUCUGCUGAGUCCUACCUUUUCUUGCCAGACCAGGGAUUUGCCAAUUAUUCUGGAUGGGCACAGGGAAGGGGCCCUCAGAUCCUGCAGAGGGAGCAUCUGAAAGACAAUGAGACCCUGUACACAACCAAGCUGAGCCUCCUCGUUGGUGCAUGCAUGGAUCCAGGAAGAGCAGCUGCCUUUGUGAUCCCGCGCCCCGGUCCUCGGCCUCUCACCUCCAGCGCCGGGGCGCCCCCUGCUGUCGGAAGCGGCUGUGACCGGGCAGAGGUGCUAUCUGGGACUCUGGGUUCUCAGCCCGGGGACAGCGAACCGAGGGGCAGAUGAUCCAUCAGAAAAGAGCCGGCACUGCCCAGCCCCGCGCCCCUGCCCCUGCCUUUUUCCGGGAGCGCGCCGCGCCGCACCCGCUACGGCCGCUUGACCCCAUCUUUGAGCCCGGCCCCAAGCUCUGGGACCGUCGUGCCCCUCAUCAAGGAAGAGCCAAGGACCCCAAGGAGAAGAGAAAGGAGUUCAUGAAGGCAGAAAUGCCUGGGGCCCACGAACAUCCCAGUGUGGCCCUGGACGGGACAUCAUGCUGGGCAACACAGCUAAAAUGCGGGUGAAGACCAGAUUUCUUGCACAUGGCGGUGACGGGAUGCUCCCUAGAGAGCUUCAAGUGGAUUCUUUGCUUUUUAUUUUCUCUCUUAAUAAAAAUGUAUGAUGUUUACAUUGUCAGAGAACAAACAGAACUGUGGCUUGUGUUUCA